GUGAGGAAUUUUCCGCAAUGGGCGAAAGCCUGACGGAGCAAUGCCGCGUGAAGGAUGAAGGCCUAUGGUUGUAAACUUCUUUUCUCAGAAAAGAAUUAUGACGGUAUCUGAGGAAUAAGCAUCGGCUAACUCUGUGCCAGCAGCCGCGGUAAGACAGAGGAUGCAAGCGUUAUCCGGAAUGAUUGGGCGUAAAGCGUCUGUAGGUUGUUUAAAAAGUAUUCUGUCAAAGAUUAGGGCUUAACCCUAGAUAGGCAGAAUAAACUUUUAAGCUAGAGUUUGGUAGAGGCAGAGGGAAUUCCCGGUGGAGCGGUGAAAUGCGUAGAUAUCGGGAGGAACACCAAAGGCGAAGGCACUCUGCUGGGCCAAUACUAACACUGAGAGACGAAAGCGAGGGGAGCAAAUGGGAUUAGAAACCCUUGUAGUCC
rnacentral:rRNA from 1 species